UUACCUAAUUUCACAUGUAUUAUUAAUUAUGUGUAUUAUCUGAAAUAUUAUUUAUUAUUGUAUUCCUGAUUGCUGUCAGUUUCUUGUUCACUACAUGUAUUGUUUUGACUUGAUGUUUUUUCAUGCUCAUAACCAAAGACAUGCAUCUCAUUUAAAAGAAACAAAAAAAGGGAGAUUUAGUGCCUUAAGAACAUCCAAAUAAUGUAGUAUGUACCUUAGAAAUUUAGAUAGCAAAUAAUUUUGAAUAAUGGAAUAUUUACAUUAGAAAUUUGGAAAAAAGAUUAUAAAAUCUAAAUCCCAACUGAGUGUGCAACAGCAAAGCUUAAUUGAUUCACUGACUUGAAGAGAGGGCGUGCUUGUGUUUUAUCACCAGCAGGCUUGAAGCAGUCACCUGUUCGUUUGAUCAGACACCGUUCACCUCCGAGGCCAGUGGAAAGAGAAAUAAUCUAAUCACCAUGCAGCCUUCAUGGCCAGAACAGGACCAGAGGUUCCAGGAAUUCAGUGAUGUCAAAGAUCAACAUUUCCAGCUAAUGAACUUUCUCCCGAGUCUCAACUACUUUAAAACUAUGGUCAUUUAUUUCCAUUUCCUAAGAUAUAUUGGACAUUAUUCUUUUUCUUUUCUUGUGCUGCGAAACCCUGUGUCAAUGACAUGAUAGAAUUUGAUACGUUUUGUUGAUUGUAAUUGGUCUUUUAUGUAUCUUAUCCUAUAUCUAAUAGAUAACCAGUGAUAACCUUAAUGAGAUAAUACCCUCACAAGAGUGAGCUGUUUUAACAUCAGAACAUAUGGCCUUUUUGAAAUUAACAAAAAGGGUGAGAUAUAGACAGGUAGAAGAAUUAUAAAAGAAAGGCCGUAUGAAACCAGGCCUCACUCUGCUAAAAUUGCCAAAGCUGGCCUGUCGUUUCUUCUAAGUGCAGCUAACAAGCAAUUUGCAAGUUCCUGUGUAAAGCUAUUUUGAGAAUGAGAAGUUCAUUUAACACAACAAUUUAUUCUGAGGGUGCAAAAAUAAUGUACGUCUGUAAACAAUAUGAUUUGUCCCAUGAUAACCCACAAAAGAAAAAUGUAAACUUGUCUAGAGAGAGAAAAUUUGAUAGACAUAUACAGCAGCCCUUACCAAGCAAUGAACUGAGUUUCACUGUAUUGCUGACCAAUUAGGUUUAACACAGUUCCUUCUGAUAUUUCCUAUAAAUAUGAGCUUUGUGAAUAAAGAAUUGACUUUCUGCAUGAAGAAAA